rnacentral:rRNA from 2 species
GCAUCCGUAGCCGGCUGCUCAAGUUUCCGGUUAAAUCCACACGCUUAACGUAUGGGCUGCCGGAAAUACUGUUCAGCUAGGGAGUGGGAGAGGUAGACGGUACUCGAUAGGAAGGGGUAAAAUCCUUUGAUCUAUUGAUGACCACCUGUGGCGAAGGCGGUCUACCGGAACACGUUCGACGGUGAGGGAUGAAAGCUGGGGGAGCAAACCGGAUUAGAUACCCGGGUAGUCCCAGCUGUAAACGAUGCAGACUCGGUGAUGCAUUGGCUUAUGGCCAGUGCAGUGCCGCAGGGAAGCCGUUAAGUUUGCCGCCUGGGAAGUACGUACGCAAGUAUGAAACUUAAAGGAAUUGGCGGGGGAGCACAAGCC